CUCCAACCUAUCGUUCCUGAAUUUUUUUUGUAAUUGUCCUAUUUAUAGUUAAAUCCCCCUCUCAUAACAUUGUAAAGCACUACGGAAUCUGUUGGCGCUAUAUAAAUGGCAAUAAUAAUAAUAAUAACAUAGGCCUGCCUAUACCAUAACCCCACCGCCACCAUGUGCCACUCGAUCCACAACAUUGACAUCAGCAAACCGCUCACCCUCACAACACCAUACAUGCUGUCUGCCAUCUGCCCUGUAAAGUGAAAACCAGGAUUCAUCCAUGAAAAGAACACCUCUCCAAAAUGGCAG